CAAGUACACAGGAAGGUCCUUGACGUUCAGACACCCUCGCCCCUACCCCGCGGGGAUGGUCCGUCGUGCUCAGAACCCCCCACCCGGGGAAGAGGGCAGCUGCGGGGGAAGCCUGGAUGCUCUGAGGGUGUCGCUGCAGUAGAUGAACAAAGGUAUAACAGCGAGUCUGGAGAGGGCAAAGUAGCAGAAAAAUGGCUGAUCUCAUGGUGGUCGUGGUGGGAAGACCUGUGUUGUGGACAAACGGAAGGAACCCAGAUCCUCUCAGAUUAAGGACUGGACUUUAUUUGAAGCCCAAGGAAGAAGCAUGAUUGUAAGAUGGGAAAGAAGAUGAAUAGGAAUAGACCAGAUCUACAAAGUGAAAGAAGAGCUAAAGACAGAUUCAACCCACUCUGCAGAAAAAAAUUAUGUAAAAAUUAAAAGAUAACUG